rnacentral:hammerhead_ribozyme from 1 species
GCACUGUUGAGGAGUCCCACAAUAGGACGAAAUGCCGUCCAGUGC